GCCACGCCGUCAACCGCGCGCGCCGCGGCAAGGACAUCGAGCGCGACAACCAGAUAUUGCUCAAGAAGAUCCAGUCGGUGAAGCGUUCCCCCAGCCAGCUAUCGAUGUCUCGGUCCAGCAGUUCGAUGAGCGGUCGGUACUCGUACGGAUGAGACCUUCCCUCGGCCUUUCGGCCGCCAUGUCAUUGUAUUUCCCCGUGUGCUUGUGCCUCACUCGUGUGUGUGUGCGAAACGUGAAACGUGUCUAUACGACCAACAUCGACGCGCCCAAUGGCCUUGGUAGCCACUUCUGUACAGGUGCAUCGGUGAAGACAAACUGCUUAAGCAGCUCUUGUCACUCUAGGUUAGAUAGGCUUGAAUGUAUUUUUUUUUUUUUUUUGUCGUAGGUUAUUUUAGCUUGGCAGCCGCUGGGAUUUCCCUGUCUAGUUUAAAGAAUUUUAAGAAUUAGAUUUCUUUGAGACGCCAAAGCUAAAGUACCACAUUGCUGCAGCUGCUAAAGUUGAAGUCUUCAAUUUGCCAAAUAAACCAAUCCGUCCUGA